rnacentral:rRNA from 1 species
GAUGAACGCUGGCGGCGUGCUUAAUACAUGCCAGUCGAACGGAAAGGCCCUGCUUUUGUGGGUUGCUCGAGUGGCGAACGGGUGAGUAACACGUGAGUAACCUGCCCCUGACUUUGGGAUAACUUCAGGAAACUGGGGCUAAUACCGGAUAGGAGCUCCUGCUGCACGGUGGGGGUUGGAAAGUUUCGGCGGUUGGGGAUGGACUCGCGGCUUAUCAGCUUGUUGGUGGGGUAGUGGCUUACCAAGGCUUUGACGGGUAGCCGGCCUGAGAGGGUGACCGGCCACAUUGGGACUGAGAUACGGCCCAGACUCCUACGGGAGGCAGCAGUGGGGAAUAUUGCACAAUGGGCGGAAGCCUGAUGCAGCAACGCCGCGUGCGGGAUGACGGCCUUCGGGUUGUAAACCGCUUUCGCCUGUGACGAAGCGUGAGUGACGGUAAUGGGUAAAGAAGCACCGGCUAACUACGUG